CCUACGGGAGGCAGCAGUGGGGAAUUUUGGACAAUGGGCGCAAGCCUGAUCCAGCAAUGCCGCGUGAGUGAAGAAGGCCUUCGGGUUGUAAAGCUCUUUUGUCAGGGAAGAAACGGCUGAGGUUAAUACCUUCGGCUAAUGACGGUACCUGAAGAAUAAGCACCGGCUAACUACGUGCCAGCAGCCGCGGUAAUACGUAGGGUGCAAGCGUUAAUCGGAAUUACUGGGCGUAAAGCGUGCGCAGGCGGUUUUGUAAGUCUGACGUGAAAUCCCCGGGCUCAACCUGGGAAUUGCGUUGGAGACUGCAAGGCUGGAGUCUGGCAGAGGGGGGUAGAAUUCCACGUGUAGCAGUGAAAUGCGUAGAGAUGUGGAGGAACACCGAUGGCGAAGGCAGCCCCCUGGGUCAAGACUGACGCUCAUGCACGAAAGCGUGGGGAGCAAACAGGAUUAGAUACCCUGGUAGUCCACGCCCUAAACGAUGUCUACUAGUUGUCGGGUCUUAAUUGACUUGGUAACGCAGCUAACGCGUGAAGUAGACCGCCUGGGGAUACGGUCGCAAGAUUAAAACUCAAAUGAAAUUGACGG
rnacentral:rRNA from 1 species